rnacentral:rRNA from 2 species
AGAGUUUGAUCCUGGCUCAGGAUGAACGCUGGCGGCGUGCUUAAUACAUGCAAGUCGAACGAGUUCUCGUUGAUGAUCGGUGCUUGCACCGAGAUUCAACAUGGAACGAGUGGCGGACGGGUGAGUAACACGUGGGUAACCUGCCCUUAAGUGGGGGAUAACAUUUGGAAACAGAUGCUAAUACCGCAUAGAUCCAAGAACCGCAUGGUUCUUGGCUGAAAGAUGGCGUAAGCUAUCGCUUUUGGAUGGACCCGCGGCGUAUUAGCUAGUUGGUGAGGUAAUGGCUCACCAAGGCGAUGAUACGUAGCCGAACUGAGAGGUUGAUCGGCCACAUUGGGACUGAGACACGGCCCAAACUCCUACGGGAGGCAGCAGUAGGGAAUCUUCCACAAUGGACGCAAGUCUGAUGGAGCAACGCCGCGUGAGUGAAGAAGGCUUUCGGGUCGUAAAACUCUGUUGUUGGAGAAGAAUGGUCGGCAGAGUAACUGUUGCCGGCGUGACGGUAUCCAACCAGAAAGCCACGGCUAACUACGUGCCAGCAGCCGCGGUAAUACGUAGGUGGCAAGCGUUAUCCGGAUUUAUUGGGCGUAAAGCGAGCGCAGGCGGUUUUUUAAGUCUGAUGUGAAAGC